rnacentral:rRNA from 1 species
CGUUUAGGGGUAAACCUGAGAAACCCGAAAGGUCGAAGGGAGGAAUUCAAUCGCGUUUCGUGGUAGGCGUGAAGCGGGGUAGUGACGGUGGGUUCAAUGAUCCUUUCCGCGCUUUCCGUUUUACGGUCAGACCGCGAACGCGUGCACUUUUCUCCUGGUAGGACGUCGCGAUCCGUUGGGCGUCGGUCUAAGACUCGCGGUGGAGCCCGUUCGUAGUUGUCUCACGGCAACGACGAGCUGACCCGCUUGUUCCGGCCGACUCGCUCGACGGUAUACGAAAGGUUUGGGGCCGCUCUUCGGAGCGUCCGACUCGCGGCAAGCGCGCCAGAUGUCUGUCGAAAACCGGACCUAGUGCCGAUUUCGGCCUCUGGUGACUGUUGGCCUCGAAGUUCUCGGACAGACCUCUUACAACCAAUCUGCGGCGCUAUAGUUUUGGGUACUUUCAGGACCCGUCUUGAAACACGGACCAAGGAGUCUAGCAUGUGCGCGAGUCAUUGGGAAUCACUAAACCUAAAGGCGUAAUGAAAGUAAAGGUCUUCCACGCGAAUGACCGAGGGAAGACAAGUGGUUUACCCUUAAAAGUGACCGCUUUGCACUCCCGGGGCGUUUCAUUCUCAUUGCGAGAAGAGGCGCACCAAGAGCGUACACGCUGGGACCCGAAAGAUGGUGAACUAUGCCUGGU